CCGCCCCUCUUCGCAGCAUGGCGGGGGAACCGCAAACAGCGGAGUCCCCGCCGCACCACAAAACUGAUCCGCCCGCUCUGGGAACCGCACGUGACCCGCAGUUCCGUAGCCCCAACCCGCCCCUCCUGCGCGACCGCACCGCGACGGUGCGGCCGGCACCGCCCCGGGGCCCAUCAUCGGUGCCGCCCACAAGGGCUCCGGGCUCCCCUUCUCCUCCGCCUUCCCUUCCUUCUCCGCCAGCGCCGGACUAGUCGGUCGCCGUUCCCCGGUUUCUUCCCCAGCCUUGCCCUCCUGUUUUUCCUCGCCCUGUUUUUUCCCAACCGCCUCGUCCCCCUCCCUCGCCUCGACGGCUGCCCCUGCCUCCGCCUCCGCCGGCCGUCCCAGGGCACCUGCCGUUUGCCAAACCUCCCGACGCUGCUUCGCCUUUGUGAAAAUGCCUUGGAGCGAGCCUAGUGCGGGCAGGAGACCUAGAGCUGCCUCGUUCCCUGCGCACGCGCGCUCCAACAGCUCCCGACCCGCCUGCUCCAGGGCGCCCCAUCUUGAACAUUGAGAAGGGUCCUCCCCAGUCCCCACCCGCAUCAUCCAUCGCAAGAGCGGCACAAGGUCCUUCUUGCGCACAGGGCACUCAACCUGCUGCCCCACGCCUUUCAGCACACUCCCCACCUGCUCCAGCGAAGCCGGAUCGAGCAGCUGAACCACAAAACCCCCGGUUGCCCAGCCACCCUUCUAGCACGUCGGGGUCACCACUCGCUGCGUGCCUCCAUGCUUCCCCCGGUGCCCGGCGCGCAGCACCUCGGGGCGCCCUCCCGUCUGCGUAACCCCUAUGCAGGGACAAGGGAGACGGACGCGUGGUGUCCAGCUCCGAACGCCAAUUUAAUGCUGCGCAACAAAGCCACUUACAGCCAUACACGCAACCGCCCGACACGGACACCGGUGACCUCCCGCUCCACCCCAGGUGCUCGCAGGCACCACCCACCCCACUUAGUCCCGCUCUGCCCACCCCGCUCCCAUCACCGGGGGCUGCACUCAGCCUUCCACUUUCUGCGCACAGCCCCAUUGUUCCGCAGGACAAAGCAGCUCGGUCCGCUUCCAAGAGCUCCACGUGCCUGUGCUGGGGCAGCUGCUGGGAAGCCUCAUCUUGCGCUGCACCUACCAGGAGGACGGGACGCGCUUUUUUGCUUUGCAAGCUCUCCGUCAACUCCACCCAUUUAUCCUGGGGAGAACCCGUAAGGCGACGGCUGCUGACCGCCUCCGUCCGUCGCAGACGUCCCACGGGGCCGAGCGUGGAUGGCGCUGUGUCGGCUGCCGCUGCGAGCAGCCAAGGAGCGGAACCCCAUGGGGUCGGGGAGCUGCGCCCCACGGCCCCGCGCUCGGGGUGGGGGCAGCUGUCCCACUGCCCGCACGGUGCUCCCAUCUCGCACACCCGUGGCUUCUUCUCAUUUCCAGGAUGGGAAGCGCGGUCGGAGGAGCAGGACAAAGUCAAGCGGUGGGAAGCUGACCCUCUCCGGGACCACCGACACCUCGAACAUUUCGCUGAGCUUUGUGGAACACCUCCACUCUUCAGAGAAGACCGACCUCAUCCUUGUGGCGCUGCGGGACAUGACGGACUGCAGCAACUACAACACCCAGAUGGCUACCAGCACGCUGACCGUGCUGAUGGUCCACCUCAACCCGACGCCCGACGAUGGGAGCAACUGGCAGCUGUUUGCCCGAGGACUGAGCCUGCCCCCACCCCAUGUGGAGAGGGACUCCCAGCCGAUGCAAAGAGGGAUCCUCAGCCCACAGUCCUUCUGGACCCCCUCCCCACUCAUAGAGAGACCUCCACCCCACUCAUAGAGGAGCUCCUGCUGAGGACAGCUCCGUGCAGCAGGGACACGUGGGAACUGUGGGAGAUGGCGUUGUCCCUGGAAAGCGUGGUGCCACAGAUGCUGCAUGAGCUGCUGCAGCUGCUGGAGAUGGCGCCACUGGACCACGAGACUGAGACCGGCGGGCUUCCCCACACUGUGAGUUCAGGGGCCCCCGGUGAACCCCCUGCCCUGACCACAGGGGGAGCGGCUCGGUGCUGAGCGCUGCCUGGCUGCUUUCUGCAGGCGGCCAUGGCGCUGCACAAGAUCCUGCAGUGCCGGAGGUACAGCACGCAGGUGCGCAGGUUCUUCCCGGAGCUCUUCGUGGCGCUCAUCUUUCAGCUGGUGUCGUCUGGGGAGCUCGCUCCGCUGGAGGAAACCACUGUGGAUAAGGACCCGUUCACGCCCGCCCCUGCCAUCAGGUACCGCCGCCGUGCCCGUCACUGACCCCUGACCCCAUGUUGACCCCUGGCUCUUCGCUGCCCCCUGACCGCACGCUGCCCAUUUCCGUGCAGGACGGCACUGGAGGUGAUGCGCAGUUUGCUGCUGUGCGCGGAGCUGGACCAGCUGGCACGCUGCAUGGACAGACACGGCCUGUGGAGGCGGCUGCUGGGUGCUGCCACGUGGCGGAGCGGCCUGCACACCCUCACUGGGUACGGCCCCAAGCCCCUCCCACGCGCUGCCCCACACAGCAUCCCACAGUGACCCACACAACACACUGCCCCUUGCACUGCGCCGCAUGUUGCCCCAUGCGGCACUCCACGCUCUGUCCCACACGCUGCCCCAUGCACUGCCCCACACACCGCCCUCCUGAAAUGAGUAGGGAACGAGAUCGGGAGUGCGCAGGGGGUGCCGAGGCCUGGUGGGCCAAUGGGAGAGCACGCUGUGGGGCGGGAUGGGCUGGUCUGGUCUCCCCCACUGUGGACCCCACCUGAGCUCACCCACCCGCCCCGCCCCGCAGGACGAUGCCGAGGACCUGCCAGGGUCAGCGCACCCGCAUCUUCAGCCACCUGCAGAAGCUGCUGCAGCACCACGAGCUGCGGUGGAAGGAGGUCCCCGCCAUAACGUUCUACAUGGAGCUGCGUCCCUUCGGGGGGUUGGGGAGGCUGAGCACCCUCCCGCCCUGCUGCCCACUCACCAGGACCUGCCGGGGUCAGUGCAGCCACAUCUUCAGCCACCUGCAGAAGCUGCUGCAGUACCCUGAGCUGCGGUGGAGGGAGGU
rnacentral:lncRNA from 1 species